UAAUACAGAGGGUGCAAACGUUGCUCGGAAUUACUGGGCGUAAAGCGCGUGUAGGCGGACCUGUAAGUUGGAUGUGAAAGCCCUGGGCUCAACCCAGGAAUUGCAUACAAAACUACAGGCCUAGAGUGAUGGAGAGGGCAGCAGAAUUCCUGGUGUAGAGGUGAAAUUCGUAGAUAUCAGGAGGAACACCGGUGGCGAAGGCGGCUGCCUGGACAUCAACUGACGCUGAGACGCGAAAGCGUGGGGAGCAAACAGGAUUAGAUACCCUGGUAGUCCACGCCGUAAACGAUGAGUGCUAGGUGUCGUGGGUUUUGACCCCCGCGGUGCCGUAGCUAACGCGUUAAGCACUCCGCCUGGGGAGUACGGCCGCAAGGCUA
rnacentral:rRNA from 1 species